GCAUAUCAAUAAGCGGAGGAAAAGAAACCAACCGGGAUUGCCUUAGUAACGGCGAGUGAAGCGGCAAAAGCUCAAAUUUGAAAUCUGGUACCUUUGGUGCCCGAGUUGUAAUUUGGAGAGGGCAACUUUGGGACCGUUCCUUGUCUAUGUUCCUUGGAACAGGACGUCAUAGAGGGUGAGAAUCCCGUGUGGCGAGGAGUGCGGUUCUAUGUAAAGUGCCUUCGAAGAGUCGAGUUGUUUGGGAAUGCAGCUCUAAGUGGGUGGUAAAUUCCAUCUAAAGCUAAAUAUUGGCGAGAGACCGAUAGCGAACAAGUACAGUGAUGGAAAGAUGAAAAGAACUUUGAAAAGAGAGUGAAAAAGUACGUGAAAUUGUUGAAAGGGAAGGGCAUUUGAUCAGACAUGGUGUUUUGCGCCCUCUGCUCCUUGUGGGUGGGGGAAUCUCGCAGUUCACUGGGCCAGCAUCAGUUUUGGUGGCAGGAUAAAUCCGUAGGAAUGUAACUUGCUUCGGGAAGUAUUAUAGCCUAUGGGAAUACUGCCAACUGGGACUGAGGACUGCGACGUAAGUCAAGGAUGCUGGCAUAAUGGUUAUAUGCCGCCCGUCUUGAAACACGGACCACGGAGUCUAACGUCUAUGCAAGUGUUUGGGUGUAAAACCCAUACGCGUAAUGAAAGUGAACGUAGGUUGGGGCCUCGCAAGAGGUGCACAAUCGACCGAUCCUGAUGUCUUCGGAUGGAUUUGAGUAAGAGCAUAGCUGUUGGGACCCGAAAGAUGGUGAACUAUGCCUGAAUAGGGUGAAGCCAGAGGAAACUCUGGUGGAGGCUCGUAGCGGUUCUGACGUGCAAAUCGAUCGUCGAAUUUGGGUAUAGGGGCGAAAGACUAAUCGAACCAUCUAGUAGCUGGUUCCUGCCGAGU
rnacentral:rRNA from 1 species